AUUGAACGCUGGCGGCAUGCCUUACACAUGCAAGUCGAACGGUAACAGGUCUUCGGAUGCUGACGAGUGGCGAACGGGUGAGUAAUACAUCGGAACGUGCCCGAGAGUGGGGGAUAACGAGGCGAAAGCUUUGCUAAUACCGCAUACGAUCUCAGGAUGAAAACAGGGGACCGCAAGGCCUUGCGCUCACGGAGCGGCCGAUGGCAGAUUAGGUAGUUGGUGGGAUAAAAGCUUACCAAGCCGACGAUCUGUAGCUGGUCUGAGAGGACGACCAGCCACACUGGGACUGAGACACGGCCCAGACUCCUACGGGAGGCAGCAGUGGGGAAUUUUGGACAAUGGGCGCAAGCCUGAUCCAGCCAUGCCGCGUGCAGGAUGAAGGCCUUCGGGUUGUAAACUGCUUUGUACGGAACGAAAAGACUCUGGUUAAUACCUGGGGUCCAUGACGGUACCGUAAGAAUAAGCACCGGCUAACUACGUGCCAGCAGCCGCGGUAAUAC
rnacentral:rRNA from 1 species